GYCUACMYRGUYYYUUAGWGUUUGAUCCUGGCUCAGAACGAACSCURRASRAGSGUGCUUAACACAUGCAAGUCGAACGUGAUCCGGCCUUCGGGCCGGUGAAAGUGGCGCACGGGUGAKUAACACGUGGAUAAUCUACCCGAUGAUCCGGGAUAACAUCUCGAAAGGGGUGCUAAUACCGGGUAAGCCCACGGACUCUUCGGAGUUUGCGGGAAAAGGUGGGGACCUUCGGGCCUACCGUCAUCGGAUGAGUCCGCGGCCCAUUAGCUAGUUGGUAGGGUAACGGCCUACCAAGGCAACGAUGGGUAGCUGGUCUGAGAGGAUGAUCAGCCACACUGGAACUGARACACGGUCCAGACUCCUACGGGAGGCAGCWGUGGGGAAUUUUGCGCAAUGGGCGAAAGCCUGACGCAGCAACGCCGCGUGAGUGAUGAAGGCCUUCGGGUCGUAAAGCUCUGUCAGAGGGGAAGAACCACCCAUCGGUUAAUAUCCGGUGGGCCUGACGGUACCCUCAAAGGAAGCACCGGCUAACUCCGUGCCAGCAGCCGCGGWAAUAC
rnacentral:rRNA from 1 species